rnacentral:misc_RNA from 1 species
UAAACACCUCAACCUCCUCUUGUUUUUUCAAAAGGAGGGUGGACUUGAGCUAUCCCAACAACCUUCACCGGUAGGCGGGCGGCUUGAAAUGCAGGUGCAGCUGGACUUUUAUCUGAGCUAAAAGCAUAUCUAUUUAGUCCUCGUCAAACAGGAUUAUUACUAUUGCUGCAGCUAACAUAAAGGAUAAUUGUCCUCAUUGCUGACUGAUGCAGGAUUUUACGACACUUUAUGUGUUGUUCA